AGUUAGUGGCGGACGGGUGAGUAACGCGUGGAAAACCUGCCGUAUACUGGGGGAUAACACUUAGAAAUAGGUGCUAAUACCGCAUAAGCGCACAGCUUCGCAUGAAGCGGUGUGAAAAACUCCGGUGGUACAGGAUGGACCCGCGUCUGAUUAGCUGGUUGGCGGGGUAACGGCCCACCAAGGCGACGACCAGUAGCCGGACUGAGAGGUUGGCCGGCCACAUUGGGACUGAGACACGGCCCAGACUCCUACGGGAGGCAGCAG
rnacentral:rRNA from 1 species